GGGUCAGUAGGUUGGUCGUGCCACCGGUACGUACUGGUCUCACUGAUUCCUCCUUCCUGAAGAACCGUAAUGCCAUUAAUUUGGUGUUGCGGGGAAACAGGACCGUUACUUUGAAAAAAUUAGAGUGUUUAAAGCAGGCUAACGCUUGAAUACAUUAGCAUGGAAUAAUGAAAUAGGACGAUCGAUCCUAUUUUGUUGGUUUCUAGGAUUGACGUA
rnacentral:rRNA from 1 species